UUUUUUUUUUUUUUUUUUGUUCCAUUUUCUUAUUUGUUGAUUACAUUUAAUGGAGGGGUAGGUGUUAUAUUGGUCGGAGCAUCACUUGCCUUGUGGAUCAGUUAGGCUAUUUGCUUACGUAAAUUGAACCCUUGAAAUAUUUGAUUACUGGGUUUCCUAUUUUGCUUUGAUUCCCUCAAUCUUCUAUCUAAAUCUAAAUCAUGUCAAUCUUAAGCAAAAAUAAUAGCAGCAACAACAUGGGCACACCUUCCUUCCAUGAGUUCAAGAAGCAAGCUUCUUUCUUCCUUAAGGAGAAGAUCAAGAGUGCUAGAUUGGCUCUCACAGAUGUCACACCUGCAGAAUUGCUGACUGAAGAAGCUGCAAAUGGGAAUCCAUGGGCGCCUGAUACACGUACCCUUGGAUCUAUUUCAAGGGCUGCUUUUGAAGUUGAUGAUUAUUGGAGA
rnacentral:misc_RNA from 1 species